rnacentral:rRNA from 1 species
CCCUUAGAUGUUCUGGGCCGCACGCGCGCUACACUGACGAAUGCAACGAGCUUAUAACCUUGGCCGAAAGGUCUGGGUAAUCUCCAAAUUUCGUCGUGAUGGGGAUAGAUUAUUGCAAUUAUUAAUCUUCAACGAGGAAUGCCUAGUAAGCGCAAGUCAUCAGCUUGCGUUGAUUACGUCCCUGCCCUUUGUACACACCGCCCGUCGCUCCUACCGAUUGAAUGGUCCGGUGAAGCGCUCGGACCGCGGCCUCUUGACGGUUUUCCGUCGAUUGGCUGUGGGAAGUUCGUUAAACCUUAUCAUUUAGAGGAAGGAGAGGUCGUANCA